GUGUAUGCAAAAUUUUUUUUCUGUCAAACAAUCAGAGAAAUGGGUUUCAGGAAUAAUUUUAAAUCGUAUAGGCCACCUGAACUAUGAGAUUUUAUUCUAGGGAAGAACGCUUAAGAGGCACAUUGACCAAAUUCGAUGCCAAAUUCAGGCCACUGGGAAGCCUCAUGGCGAUAAAGAGGCAUGAAGACAACUGAGACGUAACCACACAUUUCCAUUGGGUCUGUGAGGAUUUUUCCAGCACCUCGUCCCGUGACAACACAAUUACCAAACACAUUUGCUUGUAUGCUUUCUCCGAUUGAAAUUUCUACACCAAUUUCGAGCCCUAGUGCAGAUCGUUUUUCUACGCCCCAGAUUUGCUAGGUUUUGACUCCUCGGAAAGGAGAAAGACAAAUGGAGAUAUGAGCGAGCUAGAGAUGGAUGAGACUCUUUUUGACUCCCCGGAAAGGAGAAAGACAAAUGGAAAUAUGAGCGAGCUAGAGAUGGAUGAGACUCUUGUGGAGCGUGAUAGUAACCAGCCAGCGAGAUAUCUUUGAAUUAUAUUUUCAUUAUUAUUGUGAAAUUUAUUAGGAGCGCAUCCAUAUUUUGUUUUAUGUUUUCGCAGGAAAAGUCUGGCAGUAUGCGGCUGGGUUGACACCGCGACUUUUCCCGAACCCCAAUCCACAUGAGCUUCCUCUUGUUGGAAUGCAUUGUUCCUUAUGGGGCUUUUGUGGGGAAACCAAAACAGCAUAAUUGAAACGGAUUCCAUGCAAGUAAUCCAUCAGAAACAAUCCAUACCAUCAAGAGGAAGAAUAUCUGAAAAGAAAAGUAGUGAAGAAAUUAUUAAAAUAGAUUAAAUUAUUGGGUAAUGUGGAACGAAACCGCAACAGGCUAAUGAAGAAAAUUUUAUGUGUGUAUACAGCGUUUUGACUGUUUAUGUAAUUUGGUUUUAUUUUCCAAUUUAAUUCAUUUACAUUAGUAAGACUCUUACUUCUAAUUGUUUAAUUCUAAUUCUUAGCAACUAAUAGUUUUUUCAAAGAACAUAUUUCUUGUAGUUAUUAUAAUUAGAUAAUUUGGCAGGCCAGCCCAGCCUAUCUAUGGACUCUAAAACUAUCCGCAACUUGCGUUAUCUAAAAAAGAUCUCUUGCCUGGUAAAAUGGAAAAAUCCAGGAUCUAUUCCUACUGUUUAUGUAUGGGACACAUUGCUUUUAUUACUAUGGCAGAAUCGUAGUAUGGCUUAGUUACUCAUGACGGAUAACACCGUAUAGAUUUCAUUCAAUAAAAUUUGCGAUCCAACAGAUAAUGAUGCGAGAGAAAUAUGAGAGCAGUGGCAAAUAGACGAUAUAGAUAAAUUGAGGGGAAAUAAGAGAAAGGGUCAAAUAGUUAUUCGAAGUGAAUGAGACCAAUGAUAUUAGAAUGGCGACCUCAAGUAAAGUUGUCGUUUGUUGGAAGGUUUUCUCAAGCAAAGCGACCCUACAAAUGCCAGUUAAGGAAGAAAAAGCCAUGUCAGUGUGCUUGUAUACUUGGUGCAAAGUUUUUUAUGUGUAUCGGGUGUUGAAAAUUUGAAAUAAAAAUUUUAUCCAGUACCUUUUUUACAAACAAUUGCCUUCCGUGCCAUCCUGCCCGUGAUAUUAUUUAUAUAGACAUUAAUACGUGCAUAAAAUCAAGUCUAUCUAUUUUUGUGUUAAAAAUCUUUGGCUAACAGUAUUGAAUGCCACACCGGAUUACUUACAUCUUGCACUACUGGUAUCGCACGAAGCACGAUAUAAUAUUUGGGAGGAGCAAGGUAGGACAAAAAAAUAUAGUUUGCUAUUUAUCAAAAUCAAACGCAAGAUAAGAAAGGCCACAAACAUUUCCGACGUCCAAUAAUAACGUCCGACGUAAGAACGUAAGUCUUCGCAGAGACGUAUUUUGGUGUUGCCCAUGCCUUUACUGUUUGCCUUGUGGAACAUUGUUUGUCCACAGCUGGGCAUGUCCAAUUAGAUGUCUAAGGUCACAUAUGCACACACACGUUGUAAUUGAACCUGUGUUUUUUGUAUACACGAUAGUGGUCUUUACACAUAGAAGCACAGAGAUGCCAAAGAAAUAUGAUCCACAAUAACAACACUCCUAAAUUAUAAAAUAUUUUGAUUGCGGACGAUUCUUCCUCAAUAACCAUACAUUGAUGUUGAAUUUUAUAUUGUAUUUACUGUAUGUUAUCCUUUAUGUAGAUAAAUUUUAGCUUAUUCAUAUGUAUUUUUUUUUUUAAUUAAUUGACUUUCAGACUUUUGGAGAUAGGGUCUACAAAGUUGUAUCGUAAAGUUCAUCAAUUCAUUGUGUUUGUUGUAACCGAAUUUACAGGCCUGGACUAAGAGAGCUCACUUAGGUAGGGAAGUGAAGGAGGUUUUUCAGUUUUUGUUUAAUUUACCCGUUUGGGUUUUAUAAUGACUUUGUAGGGUCUAAUUCUUAAAGUAAAGACAGUAAAUAAUUUUUUUUUUGGUAUUAAUUUUCCUUUUUUUUAUUUUUUUGUGUGAUUUUUUGUAAA
rnacentral:sRNA from 1 species